rnacentral:ncRNA from 5 species
UGUCCCUAUCUACUAUCUAGCGAAA